AGGGUCGCCGCCCGAGAGAGAACUCUGAAGGCCGAAGUGGAGAAGGGGUCCAUGGCAACAGCAGUUGAACAUGGGUCAGUCGACCCUAAGGGAUAGGCGAAGGCCGAUCUGAAGCGGGGUGAUGUUCGCGUCGCCCCGGCGGACCGAAAGGGAAUCGGGUUAAUAUUCCCGAACCUCGACGCGGAGAUUGGCGCUCCGGCGCCUAGUGCGGCAACGCAAACGAACUCGGAAACGCCGACGUGGGUCCCGGGAAGAGUUCUCUUUUCUUGGUAAGGGGCGGCGACCCUGGAAUCGGUUCGCCCGGAGAUAGGGACAUGGGCCCCGUAAAGCAGCACGUCUCUUGUGCUGUCCGGAGAGCUCGCGACGGCCCUUGAAAAACCAAGGGAGACGGUGUAAUUUUCGUGCGAGGUCGUACCCAAUCCGCAGCAGGUCUCCAAGGGAACAGCUCUGGCCGAAGAACAAGUAGGUAAGGGAAGCGGCAAACUAGAUCCGAAUUCGGGAAAAGAUGGUCUAGGGGUGGGUCGUCGGGUGAGGACGAAGCGGGGGGGU
rnacentral:ncRNA from 1 species